rnacentral:rRNA from 1 species
UUGGAAGAUGUGCUCCCUUGUCCGACAGUUGGUCCCACGAAUACAAUGGCUAAAAGGUUGAAGACGAUUCCUGCAAAGAAAAAUAAAAGGCUGAAGACUCUGACAACUGAAGUGGACAAUAUAACAAAUAAACACCAAAAUUUCUGUUGCACGCCAAGAGAUAGCUUUAACAUUAAUGUUCAGCAAGUUCCUGACAGGGAAACAUCGUCAGAUGUGGAACAAACAUUAAUCAUUGGAAGGACUGAAGAAAAACAGAAAAUAUUGUCUAUUUUAUCUGAGAGCAUCACAGGAGAGAUGGCCAUUCUUCCAAUAUAUGGGAUUGGAGGCAUUGGAAAGACAACCUUAGCACAAUUGGUAUUCAAUGACUCACAGUUCCAUGAAUAUUCUCGGGUGUGGGUAUAUGUUUCCCAGGACUUCAACUUGAAGAAAAUUGGCAACUCUAUAAUAUCACAGUUAACAAACAAGACCAGCCAUAUAGCAGAGAAGCAGAUGCUUCAUAACCGCCUUGGAGAGCUAUUUGCUGGUAGAAGAAUCCUUGUUGUUUUAGAUGACCUGUGGGAGGAGAAACCAUCUGAGUAAGAUAAAUUGAAGGCUAUGCUAAUGCCUCACCUGGGAAGCAAGGUGAGCGUAGUAACUACACGCGAUGAAGCCAUUGCAAGGAAAGUUAGCAGUACUGUUAUGCCAUUCAAGCUAGAUAUUUUGACGGAUGAUAUGUGCUGGACUAUAAUAAAACAAAAAAGUUCCUUUGAAAAUCGACCUGACAAAAAACAGUUGGAGCAGAUAGGAAGGGACAUUGCAAUCAAGUGUGGGGGCAUGGCUUUGGCAGCUCAAUCACUUGGGUACAUGUUGAGGGACAUGACGUCUGACCAAUGGCAGUCAGUGAGGGACAGUUAUAUCUGGAAUUUAUCUACUUCUGAAGAUCCAUCAUUAAGAAAUCAUGAAGUGCUUGCAUCCUUGCUGUUAAGCUAUAGUCACAUGCCUGAAUUCUUGAAGUUGUGCUUUUCCUAUUGUGCAAUCUUUAGGAAAGGUCAGAAGAUAAAGAAGUACGAUCUAAUUCACCAAUGGAUAGCUCUUGGAUUCACCGGACCAUCUAGGAUACUUGGUCCUAUGCAGCUCUGCGAGAAAUAUGUUAGUCAACUUAUGGGGAUGUCUUUCCUUGAAUAUUCAAAGGCACCUCAGAGAGGACAGCGGGACAAAUAUGUUACACUAUUCACGAUGCAUGACCUAGUGCACGAUCUUGCAAGGGCGAUCUUGGCAGAUCAAGUUAAUGAUAAGGGCAGUCCUGGGGGAAACAGUUGCCACUAUGCAUUGAUCACAGAUUGUAGCAAGCCAUUGCAGUUGUCCCCGAGUUAUCUUGAAAAUAUAAGGGCGCUGCAUUUUCGGGCCUGCCACGAAAUAGAGCUUCAUGGUGGUGCAUUUUCACCGGCUAAGUGCAUCCAUGUCUUGGAUUUAAGUGAAUGCCUUAUUCAGAAGUUACCUGAUUGUAUUGGCCAACUGAAGCAGCUGAGGUAUCUUCGUGCUCCACGGAUACGAGAUAAAAUGAUUCCCAAUUGUAUCACCGAGCUCUCAGAAUUAACUUACCUCAACCUUAGAGACUCUCAUAUCUCAGCACUGCCGGAGUCAAUUGGUGAUAUGAAAGGUCUGAUGCAUCUUGAUUUAGCAGGUUGUGCUGGCAUUUGUGAAUUUCCAAAAUCAUUCGCGGAGCUGAAUCAGUUGGUGCAUCUGGAUUUAUCAGAUCGCUAUUAUACCAAACUUCACUUGAGUUUAUCUGAUACCAUUGGCAAUCUAAUCAAUCUCAGGUAUCUAAAUCUUAUGGGGUGCAUUAAUUCUUGGGGCGUACCAGAUGAUCAAGUGGGCAACUUGCUUCACUCUGUCACCACCCUUUCCAAUCUAGAGCAUCUGGACUUGUCAUGCAAUAGUAAUCUUUCUACUAUACCAGAAAGCAUUAGCAACCUCAGGAAGCUUCAUACAUUGGACCUCUCAUGCUGCUGCAACCUAGAGAAGCUUCCCGAUAGUAUGUAUCGGAUGGUUAGUCUGAAGGUUCUAAUUGUGGAUAAAGAGGUUACAUCAUCCAUGCUCUCUCGGUUGAAUUUUGCCUCGUUGCCACAAUUUGUGGUGCAUGCUUCAAGUGAUAAAUGUUGCAGCUAUAUCAGCCUGCUCCAACAUACAAAUACUGAUGACCUGAUGAUAGAUAGACUUGAAAAUGUGAAGUCUUCCGAAGAGGCAGAGUAUAGAACUGAUAGAUAAACGAAAUAUUGAAGUGUUAAGAUUUGAAUGGACUUCAGCUGCUCAGAGGUUUGUGGAUGGAUGUGUUGGAAAAACUAGUGCCACCAAGCAGUGUACAGAAAUUGACUAUAGUUGGUUACAGGAGUGUCAGCUUACCUGGUUGGUUUAUGGAUAUUACGCGGUAUCUCCCUAAUCUUUUGGAGAUAAAUCUAUAUGAUUUUCCUAGGUGCAAGAAGCUACCACCACUUGGUCUACUACGAAACUUAGAAUACCUGGGUCUCCACCGUAUGGACGGCUUGGAACAGUGGACCACGACACAUUACAGUGGCAAGGAAGGUUCAAAUGAGCUCAUGUUCCCUAAGCUUCAAAGGUUGACCAUAGAGCAGUAUGCCAAGCUGAGGAUAAAAUCGUGUCUGCCUAGAGCUAUGUAUUUGUACAUAAAAGAUUGUGAUACUAUGCUAUCAUCAUGUGGAGAGAGCUCUUCACACAGCGGUACUUCCUCAUCUUCUCCAUUAACUUGCCUGAAUGUUGCUGAAAGCAAGGUGCCCAUGCAUCAAUGGAGGUUGCUUCACCACCUCCCCGCCCUUCGUUGGUUAACUAUUACCGGUUGCAGUGAUCUGACCACCUCACCUCACAUCAUCCACAACCUCUCUUUCCUCACAGAACUGUGCCUCAAAUUCUUGUCCCAGGCAGAACUGCCGAGAUGGUUGGUUGAGCUGACAUCUCUGGAGCAACUAACUCUGCGUGGGUGUGCAAGCAUGACACUACCGGAGUGGUUAGGUGAACUUCCCUCUCUCAAGAGAUUUGAGCUCUGGAACUGCAAGGGUAUCAGGUCUUUGCCGGACAGCAUACAACAACUGACCAAGCUUGAACAUCUAUCCAUUCACGACUGCCCAACAUUAGAGAAGAGGUGUGAAUCAAAGGAGAACAAGAGGAAGCUCUCUCACAUCAAAGAGGUCGUCCCAUCAUCACUAAGGGCAGAUCCCAUUCAUGGUACUUUGAUGGGUAAGGUGCGUCGAGAUGUGGUGCGUAGUGAUGUGAUGAACACUAGGAGGCCCGCUCACAUCACAAAGAUCGUCCCAUCAUCAUUAAGGGCAGAUCCCAUUCGUUGUACUCUGAUUGGUAAGGUGCGUCAAGGUGUGCUGCGUAGUGCUGUGAUGAACACGCCUGGCUUCACGGAGGAAGAUUUGAGAGUUGCCGUAUCUCAUUUGGAAGAAACGUCCCAUUGCAUGGCUCUGUGUAUAUGGGCACACUGGUAGAAAAAGGGCCUGUUGUCCCGGUUCCUGAACCGGGACUAAAGGGUCGGUACUAAUGCCCUGUUCCUUUAGUCCCGGUUCAAUCCAGAACCGGGACAGAUGGGCCUCCAUGUGGCCUGUGCGUGGGUCUCAGGCAGGAGACCCUUUGGUCCUGGUUGGUGGCACCAACCGGGACCAAUAGGCAUCCACGCGUCAGCAUUUUUGUGGCUGGG